rnacentral:rRNA from 1 species
GACGAACGCUGGCGGCGUGCUUAACACAUGCAAGUCGAACGGAAAGGCCCUGCUUUUGUGGGGUGCCCGAGUGGCGAACGGGUGAGUAACACGUGAGUAACCUGCUCUUGACUUUGGGAUAACUUCAGGAAACUGGGGCUAAUACCGGAUAGGAGCUCCUGCUGCAUGGUGGGGGUUGGAAAGUUUCGGCGGUUGUGGAUGGACUCGCGGCUUAUCAGCUUGUUGGUGGGGUAGUUGCUGACCAAGGCUGUGACGGGUAGCCGGCCUGAGAGGGUGACCGGCCACAUUGGGACUGAGAGACGGCCCAGACGCCUACGUGAGGCAGCAGUGGGGAAUAUUGCACAAUGGGCGGGAGCCUGUUGCAGCGACGCCGCGUGCGGGAUGACGGCCUUUGGGUUGUAAAACGCUUUCGCCUGUGACGAAGCGUGUGUGACGGUAAUGGGUAAAGAAGCACCGGCUAACUACGUG